GAUGAACGCUGGCGGCGUGCUUAACACAUGCAAGUCGAGCGUGAAGGCUAUGACUGAUUCUUCGGAUGAAGGAAUAGCUGGAAAGCGGCGGACGGGUGAGUAACGCGUGGGUAACCUGCCUUGUACAGAGGGAUAGCCACUGGAAACGGUGAUUAAUACCUCAUAAAGCUACAGCAUCGCAUGGUGCAGUAGUCAAAACUCAGGUGGUACAAGAUGGACCCGCGUCUGAUUAGCUAGUUGGUGGGUAAAGCCUACAAGGCGACGAUCAGUAGCCGACCUGAGAGGGUGAUCGGCCACACUGGAACUGAGACACGGUCCAGACUCCUACGGGAGGCAGCAGUGGGGAAUAUUGCACAAUGGGCGAAAGCCUGAUGCAGCAACGCCGCGUGAGCGAAGAAGGCCUU
rnacentral:rRNA from 1 species